AUGCAUUGGUUUGCAUGGUGGAAAAUAUGUGUCCCGAAGAAGAAGGGAGGCAUGGGUUUUAGAGACCUUCACAGUUUUAACCUUGCUAUGUUAGCAAAACAGUGUUGGCGACUUCUUCAAAAUCCUAACUCUUUGUGUGCACGUGUUCUGAGUGCAAAAUAUUAUCCUAAUGGCGAUAUCCUCAAAGCUGGUCCAAAGAAAGGCUCAUCUUUUACUUGGCAAAGUAUUGUUGCUGUGAUACAAACUUUCAAAAGGGGUUGCAUCUGGCGAGUGGGCACUGGUUCCCAAAUUAACAUUUGGGAGGACCCUUGGAUCCCUUCUAGCGAAACCAGGAAGCUUAUUACCCCUAGAGUAGGAAUUAUAACAAAGGUGGAAGAUAUAAUCGACCCCCACACGGGACAGUGGGAUGAGGCACUAUUGCAUAGUGUGUUCUCACCAGUGGAUGUGCACAGAAUACUUCAAAUCCCCCUCCAUGUUGAAACAUUGGAAGAUUUUGUGGCGUGGCAUUAUACGAGAUCUGGAACUUUCUCAGUUCGUUCGGCAUACCAUGUGGAGUUCGAUCAUCAGUUCGGACGUCAUUACGCAAGCUUGAAUAGCCCAGGGAUGCUCAGUUGA
rnacentral:rRNA from 1 species